GCUGGAGUUUCAUAAGCAAGCCCAGGAUAUGGAUGGUGACGACUGAGGAUUCAAGCAAGCAUCACCAGAGCUACUGGACAACAAGUGUGUGAGACUUGCAAAUGCCUAGGCACUUCUGUCUUAUACCAAAACUGCUUGCCAGACUGAAACCAUAAAAUUAAAACUGGAAGGUUCAACAACAAAGCAAUCAUCAGUUCAUAAGGGUGGCUACCAACCAGGAAAUGUAUGACUUUUCGAAACGUCACGCAUGGAGUGAUAGCACAGACUUUGUUUCCCCCAGAUCUCCUAUAUGGUCUCCAACUCAACACACAAACACCAGGAAACAAGACCUGAUGAUCUUCUGCUUCUCUUCUGCUUUCCUGGUUGAAGUAGCAAUUACACAUCCCUUCCCAAGCAACCUUUUUGCUGUCUUUCAUCCUCGUGGCUCCCUUGUUUUGGCACCUCUGCAGAUUCAUAGUGUGGCACAGAACUUCCCUUUCCUGGGAAGAGCUGUAAGGAUGCCAUGCAGGAUGGCAGAGCGGACUGCUGGCUGCCUGCUCGCAGCACAGGAGGUUCAGCUGCUCCCCGUCGUACCUCAACGCGGCCAGCAGCCUGUGCCUGCAGUGGGGACGUGGGGCAGACAUCACCCAUCUGUAUUCAAACACCAUGGAGGUACCACGCAGGUAAGAAUAAGGCCAGAAAGCUUAUAUGCAACACUCCUGCUCCACAGAAGCGUUGUCUGCUCAGCUAGCCAACAGCUCUUACCUGGCAUAGGGGAGAGGUGACCGGACCACGAGGAAAGCCAGGAGCAGCUUUCCCUUCACACAGCCGCUGCCCUAUAUGAAGCGGGCUCUCAGGACGUCUCAGAUAGGACAACACCUCCUUGAGGCUCCUCUGCGCUGCCCUCGGGCUACGGGCAUUCGGGAACAACUCGGACACGAUCGCCCCCGUGCCGGCAGCCGCCCGCGGGAGAAAAAAAGUGAGCCCGGCGUCGAGGGAAAGAAGCACCGCCACCGAGGUGCAGCGAGACGGAGCGGCCGCCGGGAUUGGCUGGCUGGGCGGGAGGCGCGUGCGGGAGGCGCGUGCGGGAGGCGCGUGCGGGAGGCGCGUGCGGGA